CCUACGGGGGGCAGCAGUGGGGAAUAUUGCACAAUGGGCGAAAGCCUGAUGCAGCAACGCCGCGUGAAGGAAGAAGGGUUUCGGCUCGUAAACUUCUAUCAACAGGGACGAAAGAAAUGACGGUACCUGAAUAAGAAGCCCCGGCUACCACGUGCCAGGAGGCGCGGAUACACGUAGGGGGCAAGUGUUAUCCAGAAUUCCCGGGUGUAAAGGGGGAGUAGGGGGCAUGGUAAGCUAGAUGUGAAAGCCUUGGGCUUAACCCGAGGUUUGCAUUUGGAACUAUCAAGCUAGAGUACAGGAGAGGAGAGCGGAAUUCCUAGUGUAGCGGUGAAAUGCGUAGAUAUUAGGAAGAACACCAGUGGCGAAGGCGGCUUUCUGGACUGAAACUGACGCUGAGGCACGAAAGCGUGGGGAGCGAACAGGAUUAGAUACCCUUGUAGUC
rnacentral:rRNA from 1 species